rnacentral:rRNA from 1 species
AUUCCAGACUCCUACGGGAGGCAGCAGUGGGGAAUAUUGCACAAUGGGGGAAACCCUGAUGCAGCGACGCCGCGUGAAGGAAGAAGUAUUUCGGUAUGUAAACUUCUAUCAGCAGGGAAGAAAAUGACGGUACCUGACUAAGAAGCCCCGGCUAACUACGUGCCAGCAGCCGCGGUAAUACGUAGGGGGCAAGCGUUAUCCGGAUUUACUGGGUGUAAAGGGAGCGUAGGCGGUGAUGCAAGUCAGAAGUGAAAGCCCGCAGCUCAACUGCGGGACUGCUUUUGAAACUGUAUGGCUAGAUUGCAGGAGAGGUAAGUGGAAUUCCUAGUGUAGCGGUGAAAUGCGUAGAUAUUAGGAGGAACACCAGUGGCGAAGGCGGCUUACUGGACUGUAAAUGACGCUGAGGCUCGAAAGCGUGGGGAGCAAACAGGAUUAGAUACCCUCGUA